AUCAGUGUGGCGUAGUGGUUUUGAGUGUUGGACUGUGACUGGAGACCAGGGUUCAAGUCCCUGCUUGGCCA
rnacentral:tRNA from 1 species